rnacentral:rRNA from 1 species
UCUACGGGACGCAGCAGUAAGGAAUAUUGGUCAAUGGAGGCAACUCUGAACCAGCCAUGCCGCGUGCAGGAAGACGGCCCUAUGGGUUGUAAACUGCCUUUAUUCGGGAAUAAACCUCUGCUCGUGAGCAGAGUUGAAUGUACCGAAAGAAUAAGGAUCGGCUAACUCCGUGCCAGCAGCCGCGGUAAUA